rnacentral:rRNA from 1 species
UACAGAGGAUGCAAGCGUUAUCCGGAAUCACUGGGCGUAAAGCGUCUGUAGGUGGUUUAACAAGUCCACUGUUAAAGGUUGAAGCUUAACUUCAAAAAUGCCGUGGAAACUUUUAAACUUGAGUAUGAUAGGGGUAGAGGGAAUUUCCAGUGGAGCGGUGAAAUGCGUAGAUAUUGGAAAGACCACCGAUGGCGAAGGCACUCUACUGGGCCAUUACUGACACUGAGAGACGAAAGCUAGGGGAGCAAAUGGG